AGGAGGACAGGGGCCCUCCAAUCCCCCAGAGGCUUGUGGCUGGUGCCCCGGCUGUGGGGGUUAUGGGGACUACAUGCUAUCCCCAGCUGCACUCUCCCUAUCCUGGGGGUUCUUCUCAGCCAGACCCAUGCUAUAAGGAUGGGGGUUCCGAGGCUCAGGCCCCUGGCCUGAUGCAUUGCAAUUUGGGGGAGGCGGUAGGGAGGGACACCUUUACUGGCCUCAGAUAGGAGAUAGGAUGCCCGGAGUCCCUCCCCUGACCUCCCAGGGGCCCUGAGCCCCAGAAGGUACCCAGAAGGGACUCCAAAUCCUUCAUUCACAGCCCUUGGCUGUCUGGCAUAUUCAGCUCCGAGGCCCAGCCUAUUAGCCGGCCAGGGAGGUCCUACCAGGGAGGGCCCCAGGGGCGGCCGCUGACUUGGGCCCUGAGUGUGGAGUGAAGAGAAGAGGCUGGACCUUGGAGGCUGACAGCCACACACUCCCUUCCCCUCACAGCCGGGGCCGUAGCCGGGAGUCACCUCUCCUCAGCCACCCCAGAAACCAGAGCAAGGAUUGGUGGAAAGACCACCAAGAAGAGUGUCCAGGAGCCUGGGAACUGAGACAGACCAGCCCUGCCCUGCCCUGCUCUGGGGAGCCCUCGACCAAUGGGGAAAGGCCCUCUUGGGGUUUUACCUGCUUCCCAGCCCACGGAGAUAUGAGGGCCAGGUCCUCUCAGGUCCCUCAUGAGGGCCCUCCUAUUCUUCAGUGGCCAUCAUGAGCUCUGAAUAGAACAGGCCCAUCAGCCACAUUCCAGCAGGAAGGCUCCACCACCCUGCAGAAGGGAUAGCCCCUGAGACCUCUCCCCAUUGAGUGUCCUUGGGGAGAAGAAGGCAAUGUGGUCUGAAGCUCUUUCUGGUCUGCUUCCUCCCACCCUCCAAUCUCUAUCCUGGCACCCUCCCUACACAAGGCCUCAGUGUUUCACUGAUAACAGGUUUGGCUUUUUCCUGC